rnacentral:rRNA from 1 species
GUGCCAGCCGCCGCGGUAAUACGGAGGAUCCGAGCGUUAUCCGGAAUUAUUGGGUUUAAAGGGUUCGUAGGCGGCUUUGUAAGUCAGUGGUGAAAUUUCCUAGCUUAACUAGGACACUGCCAUUGAUACUGCAGAGCUUGAAUAAUGUGGAAGUAACUAGAAUAUGUAGUGUAGCGGUGAAAUGCUUAGAUAUUACAUGGAAUACCAAUUGCGAAGGUAGGUUACUACGUAUUUAUUGACGCUGAUGAACGAAAGCGUGGGGAGCAAACAGGAUUAGAAACCCCGGUAGUCC